GCAUGGCGUAGCUCAGUCGGUAGAGCCGAAUGCGAUAGUUGCGAAGGGUCGUUGGUUCAAAUCCAACCGCCAGCC
rnacentral:tRNA from 1 species